ACUUCAAUGCCUUGAGGAGAGUGCAGCCCAAAUCUCCCCAGUUAUUAAUGCUAGGUGACCUCUUGUUAUUAACCAAGAAGUAGAAGGGAAAGGGCAAAGAUGGUAAGAGGGGGAAAAAAUUUUUUUAAAAAGGGACAAAAAAGCAAGACAGAAAAGGGUGAAAAUGUUAACCUUUUGAAUAUCCACAGGACUCACUACAGAAGCACCAACAGAACGAGCUUCCUGCAAGGGCAGAAGAAAAGAUCAAGAGGCAGAAAGGAGACUGAGAGCCAUCCAUGACAGUUUCUCAGUGUUUAUCGGGGAACAUACUCCAUUGGGAACAGUAGCAAAUGAAUGCUCUCCAGUUCCGAACAGCAACUCUGGCACGUGAACAAUGGAGAGCGUGUACCUGGCCUUUCAAGCAGACUUUCUGUUGCAUUUUUGUUAUGUGGUACCUGUACAGCAGACUCUUCUUCUGGUUCCUGUAUAUUGAAGACUGUUGCAGCACUGUCUGCUCCCAGCAAUCGACGAGCCAUUUUCUCCUCAUAUGUUAAUCUCUGAACAAAGACAAUGAAAGGAGGGUGAGGAGGGAGG